UGACUGCGUACCUUUUGUAUAAUGGGUCAGCGACUUAUAUUCUGUAGCAAGGUUAACCGAAUAGGGGAGCCGGAGGGAAACCGAGUCUUAAUUGGGCGUUAAGUUGCAGGGUAUAGACCCGAAACCCGGUGAUCUAGCCAUGGGCAGGUUGAAGGUUGGGUAACACUAACUGGAGGACCGAACCGACUAAUGUUGAAAAAUUAGCGGAUGACCUGUGGCUGGGGGUGAAAGGCCAAUCAAACCGGGAGAUAGCUGGUUCUCCCCGAAAGCUAUUUAGGUAGCGCCUCGUGAAUUCAUCUCCGGGGGUAGAGCACUGUUUCGGCUAGGGGGCCAUCCCGGCUUACCAACCCGAUGCAAACUGCGAAUACCGGAGAAUGUUAUCACGGGAGACACACGGCGGGUGCUAACGUCCGUCGUGAAGAGGGAAACAACCCAGACCGCCAGCUAAGGUCCCAAAGUCAUGGUUAAGUGGGAAACGAUGUGGGAAGGCCCAGACAGCCAGGAUGUUGGCUUAGAAGCAGCCAUCAUUUAAAGAAAGCGUAAUAGCUCACUGGUCGAGUCGGCCUGCGCGGAAGAUGUAACGGGGCUAAACCAUGCACCGAAGCUGCGGCAGCGANNGUUGGGUAGGGGAGCGUUCUGUAAGCCUGCGAAGGUGGCCGUGAGGGUUGCUGGAGGUAUCAGAAGUGCGAAUGCUGACAUAAGUAACGAUAAAGCGGGUGAAAAGCCCGCUCGCCGGAAGACCAAGGGUUCCUGUCCAACGUUAAUCGGGGCAGGGUGAGUCGACCCCUAAGGCGAGGCCGAAAGGCGUAGUCGAUGGGAAACGGGUUAAUAUUCCCGUACUUGGUGUUACUGCGAAGGGGGGACGGAGAAGGCUAUGUUGGCCGGGCGACGGUUGUCCCGGUUUAAGCGUGUAGGUGUGUGUUCCAGGUAAAUCCGGUUCACUUUAACACUGAGGCGUGAUGACGAGGCACUACGGUGCUGAAGCAACAAAUGCCCUGCUUCCAGGAAAAGCCUCUAAGCAUCAGGUAACAUCAAAUCGUACCCCAAACCGACACAGGUGGUCAGGUAGAGAAUACCAAGGCGCUUGAGAGAACUCGGGUGAAGGAACUAGGCAAAAUGGUGCCGUAACUUCGGGAGAAGGCACGCUGACACGUAGGUGAAGUGAUUUACUCAUGGAGCUGAAGUCAGUCGAAGAUACCAGCUGGCUGCAACUGUUUAUUAAAAACACAGCACUGUGCAAACACGAAAGUGGACGUAUACGGUGUGACGCCUGCCCGGUGCCGGAAGGUUAAUUGAUGGGGUCAGCGCAAGCGAAGCUCCUGAUCGAAGCCCCGGUAAACGGCGGCCGUAACUAUAACGGUCCUAAGGUAGCGAAAUUCCUUGUCGGGUAAGUUCCGACCUGCACGAAUGGCGUAAUGAUGGCCAGGCUGUCUCCACCCGAGACUCAGUGAAAUUGAACUCGCUGUGAAGAUGCAGUGUACCCGCGGCAAGACGGAAAGACCCCGUGAACCUUUACUAUAGCUUGACACUGAACAUUGAGCCUUGAUGUGUAGGAUAGGUGGGAGGCUUUGAAGCGUGGACGCCAGUCUGCGUGGAGCCGACCUUGAAAUACCACCCUUUAAUGUUUGAUGUUCUAACGUGGACCCGUAAUCCGGGUUGCGGACAGUGUCUGGUGGGUAGUUUGACUGGGGCGGUCUCCUCCUAAAGAGUAACGGAGGAGCACGAAGGUUGGCUAAUCCUGGUCGGACAUCAGGAGGUUAGUGCAAUGGCAUAAGCCAGCUUGACUGCGAGCGUGACGGCGCGAGCAGGUGCGAAAGCAGGUCAUAGUGAUCCGGUGGUUCUGAAUGGAAGGGCCAUCGCUCAACGGAUAAAAGGUACUCCGGGGAUAACAGGCUGAUACCGCCCAAGAGUUCAUAUCGACGGCGGUGUUUGGCACCUCGAUGUCGGCUCAUCACAUCCUGGGGCUGAAGUAGGUCCCAAGGGUAUGGCUGUUCGCCAUUUAAAGUGGUACGCGAGCUGGGUUUAGAACGUCGUGAGACAGUUCGGUCCCUAUCUGCCGUGGGCGCUGGAGAACUGAGGGGGGCUGCUCCUAGUACGAGAGGACCGGAGUGGACGCAUCACUGGUGUUCGGGUUGUCAUGCCAAUGGCACUGCCCGGUAGCUAAAUGCGGAAGAGAUAAGUGCUGAAAGCAUCUAAGCACGAAACUUGCCCCGAGAUGAGUUCU
rnacentral:rRNA from 1 species